rnacentral:lncRNA from 1 species
UGGGAAAACCUGAUGCCAAGUUCCAUUCAGCAGAGGAAGAGGAGCUCCCCUAGUUACAUUCAGGUGGACAUUGCCUCCAUGUUUCAGCAGCAGAGCUACGAUAUCUUUUCGGCCUUGCUUGGCUGCUUCAUGCAUUGCUGACCAUCGCUUGACACAGGGCUGGUCUAGGCUAGUGUUAUGUUUGAUCAGAGUCGACACCAUGUCAUAGGAGCCCUUUUUCACAGCUUGAAAAUGAUUGUUAAAAACAACGGAAGAAGAGACAGAUUUGGAUCUCACUCGUAGAGUUUAUGGCCUAGAGAAGAAGCCUAUGCUGCCUUCUAUUUAAAGAGAGACUCAAAGUCUGGGCCUGUACUGGGAAACGUAGAAGAAGAUAUGAGGCCACAUGGAACAUUCUGGGGUAACCAGGAGGCAGAACGCAGAAAGGAUCUAAAGCCAAGGCAAGGAAAGCAGCUCCCAAUGUGGUAAUGGGAGGAUGAAGACGAACUUUGCCUACUUCAUUUGGGAGCAGGCAAGCCAUCCCUGCAGGAGAUGCCCGUUUUUCUCCCUCUCCUUGUCUAAAGUAGAACCUGUUGACAAAUGCCUCUCUCUGAAUUGCCCAACUGUCACUGGCAGCUCUAAUUACAGUGAAUUACCUCAUGCUAGCUGGUGUUAUUGGUUAAGGGAUUCUGAAUAGCAAAUCUCAAAGAAGACCAUAGAUUCAAGAACAAACUGAGGAAGUGCCAUGAAUAAUCCAUUUUCCUAUAAAACCUAAGAAGACUUGGCAUGGGUUCCACAACAAAGGUGCUGAUUAAGCUACAGAAGCCCCAAGUAUUUAGCUGGCCACAGACCAUCCAGGUAGACAAUAAAUGUCCUGGCCUCCGUUGCCCCAAGGUGUGGUGGCAUUGUGACAAAAUCUGAACUAAUGGGACAUGAGUGGAAGGGCCGUGUGCACUGUCCCGGUCAUCUUUUUAAAUUGAAGAUGCUUGCCUAGGGCUUCCUCUUUAGUCCUUCCUGCUGCCUGGAAAAUGGCGACGUUGGGAGCAACUUUGGAAGCACACUGUAAUGUUGAUACAGCCACCCUCACAACCCUGGGCCAUUCUGCAAUGUGUGAGAGAGAAAUGACUUCUUUCUCUUUAGCAGAAACAUCUGCUAGCAUACCAGGGUUGUGAAUGCCUUCCAGGAAGCUCUGAAGUUCUAAAGCUUGUUGGAGCUCAAAAGCAACAAUUUUUAAACACUGGAUCUCUUCAAAAGUACUACUAAAUUCCAGAAUACAAGAUUUUAAACACUAUAACAAAAAGUAAAGUAAUGACUGCAGUUGGGCUUAUAAGAAUUCACUUUUUCCUGAGCUUCUGAUUGAUGCCAAUUUUGGUCCAUCAGUGGUUGGAUAAUUUCAAACUCUAUACCUGCUAACAUCCAAGGUCUCUAACCUGUGGACAGACUGCGCAUGAACUCAAUGGCAAUAUUAUGAUUAAUUGUUCAUUGUUCUAUAUCAGUGGCCUUAAUAUCACCUCAGAACAAAAGAAUGUAACUCAGUAAAAGCAGGGAAUUAGUCUGUGAUCUCAGUGCCAAGAGAAGCGUCAUCUCCAGGAAGUUCCCUAGCUUCCUGUUUGGUAUCUCUAAUGACAGUAGGGUGAAAAUGAUCGGAACACUUUCUAUGCAGAACAACGCCAAUCUAGCACAGGUGUCUCCAGCCUUUUCCUGAAAGCUUGAGAUGAAGUGAAGAUCUGCAUGCAGGUGUACUAAGGUGCCAGACAGUCAGUCAAAGGAGCAUUACUGGAAUGGACUUAAAGACGUCAAGACACAAUGAUAAAGGCAAGAGGAGAGUAACUUAUUUAUCUAAACCUCACAUAAAUGACUGAAAAUCAAACAACUGAAAACAUGAGCCAAAUCUAUUAGCACUGAACUCCUCCAACAGCACUGAUGUCACAGGCCCCUGGAAGAAUCCACGUUGUUGACAUUACUCUGGUCAUUUAGUUGCCAUGUAGCCAAGCAAAGAGAUGGGGUUUGACCUUGUUGUCCAGGCUGGUUUCAAACUCCUGAGUUCGAGCAAUCUACCCACCCUUCAAAGUGUUGGGAUCACAGGUGACUCUUAGAAUCAUCUAGUCAAAAUGGAAUUGUGACUGUAAGUGCACUAAGAAAAGAUCCCUUUGGGAAGAAUGAACUUAUUUUGACAAAUAUGUUCAAUAUUUUUACAUAUUUAAAAUAUUGACUCUCACCCAGGAA